rnacentral:misc_RNA from 1 species
GAUGAAGAACGUAGCGAAAUGCGAUAAGUAAUGUGAAUUGCAGAAUUCUGUGAAUCAUCGAAUCUUUGAACGCAUCUUGCGCUCCUUGGUAUUCUGAGGAGCAUGCCUGUUUGAGUGUCAUUUCAAGUUCUCAAACCGCAUCAAUUUCUGAUUGGUGUGGCUUGGAUGUUGGGGGUUUUUGCAGGCUUUCUUUCUUUAUAGGAGGAAAUCAGCUCCCCUGAAAUAGAUUAGUAGUAAUAUCUGAGGCUACUACAAAGGUGUGAUAAAUUAUCUAUGCCUUUUCAUAGUAUGGCCGACUGCUUCUAACGAACGAGUGGAAACACCUUUUUGACAAAUUUGACCUCAAAUCAGGUAGGACUACCCGCUGAACUUAAGCAUAUCAAUAAGCGGAGGA